ensembl:lncRNA
CGCCGGGCCCCGCGCUGAGGGCUGUGGAGAGGAUCCCGCCCGCCUGGCUGGUAGCGGGCUCCCAGGGAGAGUGUCUGCCCUGCCGGCACAGCAGACGCCUUGGGUGAUUCAGAAAUGAGCAGUGGGAGCGCUCGGUGAUUUUCACGGGAGGAAGACAGCAGCCAGCAAGGCCCCGGCUCCCUGCCAUCUUGAGCCCUUCCUGGUGAUUUGCAGCAGCACAGAUAAAUCAUUUGUGGAAGAAAAUCAGGAGAAACCAAGCAGGGUUUGCCGGUAUCUCAGAGAUCUUUCCAAGUAGCGUCUUCUUUAACAAGGCCUCAGAUUUAAAGAUACUGAAACAGGAAUAUCUCAACAUUCGUAAUACUGCCUACAUUAAGAAAAAUUUUGCUCUCAGUUUAUACUCGUGUGGGUAUGCAAGCAGCAAGUCAGUGAAGCAUCACCAGGAAAGGACGGUUCUGUUUCAUAUUCUAGUAACUGAUCUAUUAGUUUAACAGUCCUCGGUUUCAUUUUUCCUAUUUUUUUUUCCCCUUUUUGUUAUUCCUGGAAAUUUGGAGUGCUAGCUUGUUCGUUGCUUUCCCUUCCCCUGCUAGUACCCAUUUUAAAAGGUGCAGCCCUAUUCUGCUCAGGUUUUGUUCUCACACAUGGAAAUUUUUAAAGUUCUUUUUUGCAAGCAGUAGGUUGGUGAGGGAGAGAUCUGCACUAUAAAAUAGCAAACCAACUAAACUGUACUCCAGUGGGAGAUUAAAUAAGAAAGAAGAGAAUGGCCAAGGCGAGUCGUUUGUCGCAGAUGUUCAUGCAGUUCUGUGUUUGGUUUUAAGCUGGAUUCAUCAAACGUGCUAAAGAGUAAUUUUUGUCUGAUAUGAAGUUUCUAUCCAAAGAGUCUGAGUGGGUUCGGUUUAAACCGUGGUUUGAAAAUGCAAGGGAAUGUUACCGGUCGGACACAAGAAAGUCAGACUGUUUUUGCAAUCUUAAUUCAGUAGUAAGAAGCAAAAUGUAUUGGAAUUAAAUUGCUGUGUAACACAGUUACUUAAGUUUCAAAAUCCCUUUGUGUACUGAGUACAAAUAUUUUACCAUAAAUGUCAGAAUUCCAUAGAUGAUAAAGGGUGCUUAUGCUGUUGGAGGGUAAGCAUGAAAUGCCGACGUGAUAACGUCUGAUACCAAAAUGGUGUAUGCUGCUUGUACAGUAUUUCCCAAGUUUACGACGUAACUUUAGUAAUAAAACUUAGUAAAAACGCAUGAGAUGAGCACAAAUGUAAUACUUACAAUUACCAGACUAUCUCAAAAAAAAAUAUUUAACAGGGUGGAACACAAAUGAGGAGGCCCAGAAAUAAAAUUACUUUAAAAGGGGGAUUUUGAAAAAUUCAUCAUAUCAAACUCAUUCUUAGUUCCUGUAAGUUUCUGUCUCUUUUAACAUAUUUUCCCCUUUUAAAGUUCAUUUCUGUCUCUGUUCCCUCAAAAAUUCUGCGCUCCUUCCCCAAAAAGGGAAGCAUGUUAUGGUUACAAAUACCUUCUGCUGACUGAAGUAAAAUGAUCUUUUUUCCCAAACGAAAAUGUAUGUAUUAAUUCGCUAAACUGUUCCAGCUAUGUUUACGUAUGUUAUUUCUGAGAAAUGAUGAGGGCUGCACGAUAUACUGCAGCAUACUACGAUGUAGUAGCUGUAGUCGAGCAUUUUUGUUAUUUGUAAUCAAAUAGACAGAAUUGUCAGCCUAUUUGCUUUUAAGUACCUGGAAGCUGAAUUAGAAACACGAUUUUUAAUACAAUGAAUUUGACAUUUCAGUCUGCACUUGCUUUUUUUCUUUCGUAAAUGAGCACUGAUUAUCAGAAAAAUCAAGGCUUACAUAAUCAAGCCAUACAUUUUUCUGCUCUUCUUUCUCUUCCCCCACUUUAGCCAUCAUUUUCCUCGGAAAAAUGAAAAUUUUUGAAUAGAGAAUUACUAUGACAUACUAAUUAUAUACACAUUUUCACGGGACUGCAUAACCAGCCUAUUUGUAUGUAUUUAGUAAAAGAAGGCCGUCAACAAAAUAUUACAACCUUGAGAUGGCUAAACUUUAAAAUUACAGUAAUCAUUAAAUACAGCAUUAUCUUGUUGAUGUGCCUGUCUGUGUACCACUGAGUCAUUUUUCU